rnacentral:rRNA from 1 species
GCGCACGGGUGAGUAACGCGUAUGCAACUUUCCUCUAACAGAGAGAUAGCCCGAAGAAAUUCGGAUUAAUAUCUCAUAACAUCAUGAAAUCGCAUGGUUUUAUGAUUAAAGCUCCGGCGGUUAGAGAUGGGCAUGCGUGACAUUAGUUAGUUGGUGAGGUAACGGCUCACCAAGGCAACGAUGUCUAGGGGUUCUGAGAGGAUGAUCCCCCACACUGGUACUGAGACACGGACCAGACUCCUACGGGAGGCAGCAGUGAGGAAUAUUGGGCAAUGGACGCAAGUCUGACCCAGCCAUGCCGCGUGCAGGAUGACGGCCCUACGGGUUGUAAACUGCUUUUGUACGAGAAGAAUUCUCUUGACGUGUCAGGGGUUGACGGUAUCGUACGAAUAAGCAUCGGCUAACUCCGUGCCAGCAGCCGCGGUAAUACGGAGGAUGCAAGCGUUAUCCGGAUUUAUUGGGUUUAAAGGGUGCGUAGGCGGGAUAUUAAGUCAGUGGUGAAAUCCUGCAGCUUAACUGUAGAACUGCCAUUGAUACUGAUAUUCUUGAGUAUAGUUGAAGUGGGCGGAAUGUGUAAUGUAGCGGUGAAAUGCUUAGAUAUUACACAGAACACCGAUUGCGUAGGCAGCUCGCUAAACUAAUACUGACGCUGAGGCACGAAAGCGUGGGGAGCGAACAGGAUUAGAUACCCUGGUAGUCCACGCUGUAAACUAUGAUCACUCGUUGUUGGCAAUACACAGUCAGCGACUGAGCGAAAGCAUUAAGUGAUCCACCUGGGGAGUACGGCCGCAAGGUUGAAACUCAAAGGAAUUGACGGGGGCCCGCACAAGCGGAGGAACAUGUGGUUUAAUUCGAUGAUACGCGAGGAACCUUACCUGGGCUUAAAUGCAGAACGACGUCCGCCGAAAGGCAGAUUCCCUUCGGGGCGGACUGCAAGGUGCUGCAUGGUUGUCGUCAGCUCGUGCCGUGAGGUGUCGGGUUAAGUCCCAUAUCGA